UGAUCAGGAUUUGCUUGUGAGCAGUUUGAUGUUCAGAUUUUUUAAAAAGGGAAGACGUAAUCAAGGAGCUUUUUCUAAUUUUGAGAUGCCAUUUGAGUUAAAUUUUGAGUUUGAGAUGCCUUGGGAUGUGGCAAAGACAACCGGCACUGAUAAAUAAGAUUGAAGUAAGUGAAUUCAGAUACAAUUCAAGCUUGUUAGAGGGCUUUUUAAAAAUAAAAAGUUGAUUCGGUGCACGAGAGCAAAUUACUGCUGCUUACCGUUCAGAGACUUACAGGUGCUUGCCUGCAUUGCAAUAAAGGACUCAUAUAUUGAGCAAGACUUAUAUUUAUCUCUUCGUUUUGGAGAGCCUAAUAAACUGUUAUUACAGUUUCUCUACUGACUUUAAAAAGUUUUGAAGUUUGGAAGACACCUUUGCAAUUAACACAGCAUGAGCACGGCCAGAACAGAGAACCCUGUUAUAAUGGGUCUAUCCAGUCAAAAUGGUCAGCUGAGGGGCCCUGUGAAGCCCAGUGGUGGCCCUGGAGGAGGGGGCACACAGACACAGCAACAGAUGAACCAGCUGAAAAACACCAACACAAUGAAUAAUGGCACUCAGCAGCAAGCACAGAGUAUGACCACCACUAUUAAACCUGGUGAUGACUGGAAAAAGACUUUAAAACUCCCUCCAAAGGAUCUAAGAAUCAAAACUUCGGAUGUGACCUCCACAAAAGGAAAUGAGUUUGAAGAUUACUGUUUGAAACGGGAGUUAUUGAUGGGAAUUUUUGAAAUGGGGUGGGAAAAGCCUUCUCCUAUUCAGGUAUGUUUACCCUUUUUAUCACAUUCAUAAGGUUAUAUGUCAAGCAUUAUAUACUUUCCUUUUAGAUGUGUGGCGGUAAUGUAACGAAUCAGUAUUUCUCUCUUAUGUAUUUACACACACACUAUUUUUCUGAACUUAAGGGUAAGUUACAAAAUCAU